rnacentral:rRNA from 1 species
AGCGAACGCUGGCGGCGUGCUUAACACAUGCAAGUCGAACGGAUCCGGGGGGCAACCCUUGGGUCAGUGGCGAACGGGUGAGUAACACGUGGGUAAUCUUCCCCCGAGUGAGGAAUAAGUCUGCGAAAGCGGGUCUAAUACCGCAUGACGUCCUAAGGCAUAUGCCUUAGGAUUAAAGCCGUGAGGCGCUUGGGGAUGAGCCUGCGUCCUAUUAGCUAGUUGGUAGGGUAAUGGCCUACCAAGGCGAUGAUGGGUAGCCGGCCUGAGAGGGUGUACGGCCACACUGGGACUGAGACACGGCCCAGACUCCUACGGGUGGCUG